UACGUAGGGUGCGAGCGUUAAUCGGAAUUACUGGGCGUAAAGGGUGCGCAGGCGGUUCUGCAAGUCAGGCGUGAAAUCCCCGGGCUUAACCUGGGAAUGGCGCUUGAAACUACGGAACUGGAGUAUGGCAGAGGGAGGUGGAAUUCCACGUGUAGCGGUGAAAUGCGUAGAGAUGUGGAGGAACACCGAUGGCGAAGGCAGCCUCCUGGGCCAAUACUGACGCUCAUGCACGAAAGCGUGGGGAGCAAACAGG
rnacentral:rRNA from 1 species